rnacentral:rRNA from 1 species
UACGGAGGGUGCAAGCGUUAUCCGGAUUUACUGGGUUUAAAGGGUGCGUAGGUGGGCAGGUAAGUCAGUUGUGAAAUCUCCGGGCUUAACUCGGAACGGUCAACUGAUACUGCGCGGCUAGAGUGCAGAAGGGGCAACUGGAAUUCUCGGUGUAGCGGUGAAAUGCGUAGAUAUCGAGAGGAACACCUGCGGCGAAGGCGACUACCUGGCCCAUUCUUGACGCUGAGGCGCGAAAGCUAGGGGAGCGAACGGG